GUGGGGAAUAUUGGACAAUGGGCGAAAGCCUGAUCCAGCCAUGCCGCGUGUGUGAAGAAGGUCUUCGGAUUGUAAAGCACUUUAAGUUGGGAGGAAGGGCAGUAAGUUAAUACCUUGCUGUUUUGACGUUACCGACAGAAUAAGCACCGGCUAACUUCGUGCCAGCAGCCGCGGUAAUACGAAGGGUGCAAGCGUUAAUCGGAAUUACUGGGCGUAAAGCGCGCGUAGGGGGUUUUGUAAGUUGGAGGUGAAAUCCCCGGGCUCAACCUGGGAACUGCCUCCAAAACUGCAUGACUAGAGUACGGUAGAGGGUAGUGGAAUUUCCUGUGUAGCGGUGAAAUGCGUAGAUAUAGGAAGGAACACCAGUGGCGAAGGCGACUACCUGGACUGAUACUGACACUGAGGUGCGAAAGCGUGGGGAGCAAACAGGAUUAGAUACCCUUGUAGUCC
rnacentral:rRNA from 1 species